UUUAUCCAGUCGCUAAAGUGGAUUUUUGGCUUAGCAUUAGCAAAUGGUAUAAUGUCCGGCCGUAAAUACUGAGGAAUCCGGUCGUUAAUAAUAAUAAUUUGGCGGAAGUAUCCCAAAAGAAAUGCGCCAAACACCCUAUGCAAUAUCAGGUAUCCCUUUUUUUUUCUCCCCACUCAAAUAAUUAACGCUCCCCAUUUCCCCUUCCCAUGUAUAUAAUAAGAAAAGAAAUCCCUAAUCCCCAACCUACAAAGAGACGUUACUGCCAACAUCCUCAACAAAAUUUGGUUACCUUUGGUAGAUGAGUUUGAUUUGGUGGUGGUGGAGAGUGGGUUGAACCACCAAAAGCAAAAGCUCUAGCCUGCGCUCAACAAAGUGUCAAUAUUUUCUGGUUGAAUAUUUCGGGUUCAAUGGAGUAACUGCAGUCACUGGUGCGCUUAUCUUUGCAAUGGGCUCAUAUUUUAUCAAGAAUUUGAAGUUUGAAGAAUCUGUCUAUGAACAAAGUGCAGAGCAAGUAUAAGCAACUGAAACUAUUAAAGAACGAGUUGACAGGAGAGACAUGCUUUCUAUUUUGCUCUGAGGUGUUUAAAGAUUUUCCUAUUUGUACAUGCUACAAUAUUUGUACUUCUUCAAAGGAGCUGCUAAAUAUAAUGUCAGAAAAGUUGGAUGGGUCUAUAUUUUUGUAAUGUCAUGAUUUAUUUCAUUGUAAUUAAGUAUGAAAUUCAGAUGGCUAUCGAUUAUUUUAUAUAUUAAG